CUUCAUAUCUUCUUGGUGAACUGAACCAUUUGUUCCUUGAAUCAUUUAUUAUUAUGAAGUUGAUCCUCUUGAAUUGAACAGUUUGGAGGUUCCGGAGACGGCACACAGUGGGACACCGGGCCUUUGUCCGACGUGAGACUCUUUACACUGGAGCCUCGAGGUUGCUUUCCAUUUAACACACUGAUUCCUUUUACUUGACCAACACUCCUGUGCCGGACAUGGUUCUCAGCACUUUGCCCACACGGACGUGUCUCUUCCUCAUGACAGGCAGGUGAAUUCCCGUUGAAGAUGAGAAAACUGUGUGUCGAGAGGCGGAGCCUGAGAGGCAGGUGCGAGGCCAGGGCGCCCGAGUGCUCGGUACCGCCCGCCUACCACCAAACGUGCCCUUUCGGUCUGUGCUGCCUGGGCUGUGCAUUCUCUCUCUCCUUCCCUGCCUUUUUGGAUUGGCUGUUUAAAAGAAAAAAAAGCUUUCCAAAUGAUACCCUCUCUGCUCAAAACCAUUUAUUCUGCACCAGACGGAAGCUGCCUGAGGUCAGAGGUCCGCGUCUGCGUCUGCGUCUGUUCUGUCCGUUGCUUCGCCGUUGGCGCCUGGACAAUGUCCUUGCGUACGAUGAAGGCCCGUGGUCGUCGGCCAGCGAGUGGCAGAAUGCAGCCCGCCCUCCCGCCAGCACGGACCGCUGUGGGGUUAAAGGUUAACGGGGUCCCAUGGCUGGGACCCAGAUGGCAGGGAGCUUUCUCUCCACGGAGUUUGACGGCGCUGCUCUAACAGAGGAAAAGAACAGAAAGUGGCCUGCUUUGCACUGAAACGGCACCGCCUUCCCUCUUGUUUGCUUUGGCAUCACCGAGUUUUAACUCGGCUUCCAUGUAACUCAGUUCACGCAUGUGGCCUGUUGUGGGGCACAAAGUCUCAAGUUCAAGUCUCCGAGAGAGGAGUGAUUCCCCUGACUCACUCAGUGAGAGCGUAUAACAAGAGGCCAGAGACAACCAAGAAAGCGGUUUCCAAUGCGGAUUACUAGCAAACCCCCCCUGAGUGAUGUGAGGGGUGUAGGUUAUAAACGCGGGGAGGGACGUGCCAAUGAAGAGAGAGCAAAUCCUUCCCCACCCUUUUCCUCUUUGGGCAGCAAUCCCGCAUCCCCAGAAGCAAACUUGCACAGCAGCUCGGAAAACUCCCUCCAGUGGGAGCCGGGAGCAGCCGGGACCCUCCGACACCCCUAUAGGCUGGGGCCCGUGUGAGACGCACUGUGACUUGUCCUCCAGAGUCCUGUUUAUGGAAGGACGAGGCGGCGUGAGAGCCUGCGGGAAGGCUCGUUGUCACUCGCCCUGGACUAGAGAGACAAGUUUGUUUUGGACCCAGAGCGAGGAUGGGGGGCAGGGGGGCAAGGGAGGGGGGGGCAGGCCUCUUUUCUCCUCCUUCUUUGCACAAGAAAACUAACCUACGCACUCCUGAUGAGAGAGAUUAUCCCAUGUAUUCUGUUCCCCCCAAUUCAGAAGAAAGCCCACCGAUAAAACCCUCUCCCAGGCCCGGUGCAGCGAUCCCAGAGACCACCUCUGAUCCGACACACGGCUGAGAGAAGCACUUCUACUAAAAUCUAGUUUAGGACUUCCCGUCUUUCCAAACUGAACUUGAAUUUCCUCGUGUUUUGUUUUGUUUUUUUAAUUUUUUUUCUUUUAGUGAUUCCAGAGCGGGGAAGAGAGGGAGAAAGAAAAGGAGAGAAACAUCGAUCGGCUGUCUCCUGCACGCGCCCCGACCGGGGACCAAACCCCCAACCCAGGAAUCAAACCCAUGACCCUUCGGUUUGCGGGAUGUCGCCCAACCAACGACCCACGCUGGCCAGGGCUGAACUUGAAUUUCUUAUUGGCCCACUCUACCUUUGAU